GGGGAAUAUUGGGCAAUGGACGCAAGUCUGACCCAGCAACGCCGCGUGAAGGAAGAAGGCUUUCGGGUUGUAAACUUCUUUUAAGGGGGAAGAGCAGAAGACGGUACCCCUUGAAUAAGCCACGGCUAACUAC
rnacentral:rRNA from 1 species